rnacentral:rRNA from 1 species
AGAGUUUGAUCCUGGCUCAGGACGAACGCUGACGGUGUGCUUUAGGCAUGCAAGUCGAACGAGAAAGCCCUUCGGGGUGAGUAAAGUGGCGAACGGGUGAGUAACACGUGGGCAACCUGCCCCUCGCAGGGGGACAACCGGAGGAAACUCCGGCUAAUACCCCGUACGCUCCACGCAUCGCAUGUUGUGUGGAGGAAAGGUAGCCUCGGCUAUCCGGCGAGGGAUGGGCCCGCGGUGCAUUAGCUAGUUGGUGGGGUAACGGCCCACCAAGGCGACGAUGCGUAGCUGGUCUGAGAGGAUGAUCAGCCACACUGGGACUGAGACACGGCCCAGACUCCUACGGGAGGCAGCAGCCAGGAAUCUUGGGCAAUGGGCGAAAGCCUGACCCAGCAACACCGUGUGGGCGAUGAAGGCCUUAGGGUCGUAAAGCCCUGUUGAUAGGGACGAAGGGCGAAGGGUUAAUAGCCCCUAGCUUGACGGUACCUUUCGAGGAAGCCCCGGCUAACUACGUGCCAGCAGCCGCGGUAAUACGUAGGGGGCGAGCGUUGUCCGGAAUUAUUGGGCGUAAAGAGCGUGUAGGCGGUUCGGUAAGUCUGUCGUGAAAUCCUGAGGCUCAACCUUGGGCGUGCGAUGGAUACUGCCGGGCUAGAGGGUGGUAGAGGCGAGUGGAAUUCCCGGUGUAGCGGUGAAAUGCGCAGAUAUCGGGAGGAACACCAGUAGCGAAGGCGGCUCGCUGGGCCACACCUGACGCUGAGACGCGAAAGCUAGGGGAGCGAACAGGAUUAGAUACCCCAGUAGUCC